rnacentral:misc_RNA from 1 species
UCGUUUGCUCGGAAAAAACACGACCCCUGUGCACGUAACCUAACCCACCGCUGCCGGGGAGGCGCCGCCUCCUCGGCCCACCGGCCACGGUCCUCGCUCGGGCCGUGCGCCGGAAAUACGGCGCGGUCUGCGCCAAGGAACACGAGAUGCUGAGGCGGCCGGCGGAGCGCGCUCUGCCUGCCGCCGAUGCAGAGGAAUAC